rnacentral:ncRNA from 1 species
UUGGUCAUCGGUGAUGGAGUUCACCGAGAACCGCCGACCCUGACACCCCAUGCUCGGCUGAUAACUCCUACCAGCGC